GACGAACGCUGGCGGCGUGCUUAACACAUGCCAGUCGAGCGGAAAGGCCCUUCGGGGUCCUCGAGCGGCGAACGGGUGAGUAACACGUGAGUAACCUGCCCCAGACUUUGGGAUAACCCUCGGAAACGGGGGCUAAUACCGGAUACGACACAGCUUCGCAUGGGGUCUGUGUGGAAAGUUUUUCGGUUUGGGAUGGGCUCGCGGCCUAUCAGCUUGUUGGUGGGGUGAUGGCCUACCAAGGCGACGACGGGUAGCCGGCCUGAGAGGGCGACCGGCCACACUGGGACUGAGACACGGCCCAGACUCCUACGGGAGGCAGCAGUGGGGAAUAUUGCACAAUGGGCGGAAGCCUGAUGCAGCGACGCCGCGUGAGGGAUGACGGCCUUCGGGUUGUAAACCUCUUUCAGCAGGGACGAAGCGUAAGUGACGAUACCUGCAGAAGAAGCGCCGGCCAACUACGUG
rnacentral:rRNA from 1 species